rnacentral:rRNA from 1 species
AGUGAACGCUGGCGGUAGGCCUAACACAUGCAAGUCGAACGGCAGCACCGUAAGAGCUUGCUCUUACGGGUGGCGAGUGGCGGACGGGUGAGGAAUACAUCGGAAUCUACUUUUUCGUGGGGGAUAACGUAGGGAAACUUACGCUAAUACCGCAUACGACCUACGGGUGAAAGCAGGGGAUCUUCGGACCUUGCGCGAUUGAAUGAGCCGAUGUCGGAUUAGCUAGUUGGCGGGGUAAAGGCCCACCAAGGCGACGAUCCGUAGCUGGUCUGAGAGGAUGAUCAGCCACACUGGAAAGGAGACACGGUCCAGACUCCUACGGGAGGCAGCAGUGGGGAAUAUUGGACAAUGGGCGGAAGCCUGAUCCAGCCAUACCGCGUGGGUGAAGAAGGCCUUCGGGUUGUAAAGCCCUUUUGUUGGGAAAGAAAAGCAGCAGGUUAAUACCCCGCUGUUCUGACGGUACCCAAAGAAUAAGCACCGGCUAACUUCGUG